AUUGAACGCUGGCGGCAUGCUUUACACAUGCAAGUCGAACGGUAACAGGUUAAGCUGACGAGUGGCGAACGGGUGAGUAAUGCAUCGGAACGUGCCCGAUCGUGGGGGAUAACACUUCGAAAGAAGUGCUAAUACCGCAUACGAUCUGAGGUUGAAAGCGGGGGACCGUAAGGCCUCGCGCGAUCGGAGCGGCCGAGGUACGGUUAGGGAGUUGGUGGGGGAAAGGCUCACCAAGCCGACGAUCUGUAGCUGGUCUGAGAGGACGACCAGCCACACUGGGACUGAGACACGGCCCAGACUCCUACGGGAGGCAGCAGUGGGGAAUUUUGGACAAUGGGCGCAAGCCUGGUCCAGCAAUGCCGCGUGCAGGAAGAAGGCCUUCGGGUUGUAAACUGCUUUUGUACGGAGCGAAAAGGCUCCCUCUAAUACAGGGGGCUCAUGACGGUACCGUAAGAAUAAGCACCGGCUAACUACGUGCCAGCCGCCGCAGUAA
rnacentral:rRNA from 1 species